rnacentral:rRNA from 1 species
UACGUAGGGACCAAGCGUUGUUCAGAUUUACUGGGCGUAAAGGGCGCGUAGGCGGCGCGGUAAGUCACUUGUGAAAUCUCUGAGCUUAACUCAGAACGGCCAAGUGAUACUGCAGUGCUAGAGUGUGGAAGGGGCAAUCGGAAUUCUUGGUGUAGCGGUGAAAUGCGUAGAUAUCAAGAGGAACACCUGAGGUGAAGACGGCUUACUGGACCAUAACUGACGCUGAGGCACGAAAGCGUGGGUAGCAAACAGG